rnacentral:rRNA from 1 species
AUUGAACGCUGGCGGCAGGCCUAACACAUGCAAGUCGAGUGGAUGACGGGAGCUUGCUCCUUGAUUCAGCGGCGGACGGGUGAGUAAUGCCUAGGAAUCUGCCUGGUAGUGGGGGACAACGUUUCGAAAGGAACGCUAAUACCGCAUACGUCCUACGGGAGAAAGCAGGGGACCUUCGGGCCUUGCGCUAUCAGAUGAGCCUAGGUCGGAUUAGCUAGUAGGUGAGGUAAUGGCUCACCUAGGCGACGAUCCGUAACUGGUCUGAGAGGAUGGACAGUCACACUGGAACUGGGACACGGUCCAGACUCCUACGGGAGGCAGCAGUGGGGAAUAUUGGACAAUGGGCGAAAGCCUGAUCCAGCCAUGCCGCGUGUGUGAAGAAGGUCUUCGGAUUGUAAAGCACUUUAAGUUGGGAGGAAGGGCAGUAAGUUAAUACCUUGCUGUUUUGACGUUACCGACAGAAUAAGCACCGGCUAACUCUGUGCCAGCCGCCGCCGUAAGAC